CAAUCCUUCAUGGCCCUCAUUGUGCAUUGCCAAUGACGAGCAGGAAUUAAGAAAAAUGUUCAAAAAUUGUGGA